rnacentral:rRNA from 1 species
UGGGGAAUAUUGCACAAUGGGCGCAAGCCUGAUGCAGCCAUGCCGCGUGUAUGAAGAAGGCCUUCGGGUUGUAAAGUACUUUCAGCGGGGAGGAAGGCGAUAAGGUUAAUAACCUUGUCGAUUGACGUUACCCGCAGAAGAAGCACCGGCUAACUCCGUGCCAGCAGCCGCGGUCAUACGGAGGGUGCAAGCGUUAAUCGGAAUUACUGGGCGUAAAGCGCACGCAGGCGGUCUGUCAAGUCGGAUGUGAAAUCCCCGGGCUCAACCUGGGAACUGCAUUCGAAACUGGCAGGCUAGAGUCUUGUAGAGGGGGGUAGAAUUCCAGGUGUAGCGGUGAAAUGCGUAGAGAUCUGGAGGAAUACCGGUGGCGAAGGCGGCCCCUUGGACAAAGACUGACGCUCAGGUGCGAAAGCGUGGGGAGCAAACA